rnacentral:rRNA from 1 species
UACGGGGGGGGCAAGCGUUGUUCGGAAUUACUGGGCGUAAAGGGCGCGUAGGCGGCCGCCUAAGUCAGACGUGAAAUCCCUCGGCUCAACCGGGGAACUGCGUCUGAUACUGGGUGGCUUGAAUCCGGGAGAGGGAUGCGGAAUUCCAGGUGUAGCGGUGAAAUGCGUAGAUAUCUGGAGGAACACCGGUGGCGAAGGCGGCUCACUGGACCGGAACUGACGCUGAGGCGCGAAAGCGUGGGGAGCAAACAGG